UUUUCCUUAAGAAAUUAAUUUGGGGAAACAUAAAUAUUUUAUUUAUUAAUUUAUUUUUGUCCACUCACUCUAACGUUAUUAAAUGUUUUCCCCUGGGCCCUUCGUUUUAAAUUGCCCAGUCUGCAGAGUUCGGGUUGGAUCUAGUAGGAGACGAGGCAUAGUCACCCGUUUUUCGGCCAGUUUUCAUCAGUAGGUUACCUGUUCAACCUACUCGUGUUUUCUUGCUUCCGCUUGUGUUUAGUAGCUCUGAAUACUUUAGAAUUUUGUAUAUUAUGUGAUAUUCAGAAGCAUUAAAUUAAGAGUGUAAUAUGAAAUUUUCGAGUUAGGGUUGUCCAUCUGCAAGGGAGAUUUUCUUAAUCUUUUCAGUAAAUUUUCCUUGGAGGUGGUCCCCGCACGACUUACUCUGGGUUUCAGGGUGAAAUUCGGGGUGGGUCGUGUCAGUUGGUAUCAGAGCUAUAGGUUUCCUUUUCCUGCUUCCUUGUCACUUUCACAUUUGCCCAAGUAGCACGUAGUGUCUAUAGAGUGAUGAUCCGACCGCGGCGGAUUCAUUGGCAUUUUAUGCCUUUGAUGCUAUGUGUUAUUGGGUAUAUGUGAUUAUUGUGUUAGUCUUGUUUAUGGACUACUAAAUUUCUUCUUCCUCAGGUACUAUGCCUCCUAGGCGCCCACGGCAACCCCGUGUGGCUACUUCGACCAAUGCCGAUGAAGGCAAUGAGGUCAGGGGACUGGUUGAUGAUAUUGGGAAUAUGCUGAGGGAUGUCAUGGAUCGAGCUCCACAACCUCAUUCUGUGAAAAGGAGAGAAGUUUUUGAAGCUGGAGCCAGAGAGUUCAAGGGUGCCAAGGGACCCCUUGAUGCUUAUACUUGGGU
rnacentral:lncRNA from 1 species